GCUGGCGGCAGGCCUAACACAUGCAAGUCGAGCGGUAACAUUUCUAGCUUGCUAGAAGAUGACGAGCGGCGGACGGGUGAGUAACGCGUAGAAAUCUACCUAGUAGUGGGGGAUAGCCCAGAGAAAUUUGGAUUAAUACCGCAUACGCCCUACGGGGGAAAGCGGGGGAUCUUCGGACCUCGUGCUACUAGAUGAGUCUGCGUCGGAUUAGCUUGUUGGUGAGGUAAUGGCUCACCAAGGCGACGAUCCGUAGCUGGUCUGAGAGGAUGACCAGCCACACUGGAACUGAGACACGGUCCAGACUCCUACGGGAGGCAGCAGUGGGGAAUAUUGCACAAUGGGCGCAAGCCUGAUGCAGCCAUGCCGCGUGUGUGAAGAAGGCCUUAGGGUUGUAAAGCACUUUCAGCAGUGAGGAAAGGGGUGUCGUUAAUAGCGCCAUCCUGUGACGUUAACUGCAGAAGAAGGACCGGCUAACUCCGUG
rnacentral:rRNA from 1 species